CGCGGAGUACCGGGAUAUAUAUAUACACGGUGUCUCUGUGAUGGAUACCCCGCCGGUGCACGCUGUGGACUACGUCCUCCUAGUCGGGCUCACCGUGGUUAGCCUGGGCGCCGGUCUGUACCUGUCGGUGCGACGACGAAGCCGCAGCCGGGAUGAGGCCUUCCUGGGCGGCCGAAGCAUCCCAUCGCUGCCGCUGGCCAUCUCGGCGGUCGCGUCCAGCGUCACGGCCAUGAGCAUCAUCGCCUUCGUGGCCCACUACUACGUGUACGGCUUCCACACCCUGUGGGCCAUUCCGGCAUUCGUGCCGGCCGGCAUCGUGGUCACCACCGUGUUCCUGCCCGUCAUGUACGAACGGAGGGUCACGUCCAUAUUCGAGUACCUCCGCAUGCGAUACGGGAACAGCGUUGGAAUCGCCUCAUCCUUCAUAUAUUUCGUCCUAAGCCAAGCAUUAGGUGCAGUGGCCAUCUACAGCGCAGCAGUCGCCGUGUCCACGAUGCUCGGUCUGUCCCCGAUAAUUGCGAGCAUCAUUCUCGGAGUGUCUGGAACAGUUUACACUGCAUUGGGAGGUCUCCGGAGUGUCGUGUGGGCCGACUGCAUCCAGGGACUCAUCAUGACCGCCUCGCCACUCAUCAUCAUCGGAAAGAUAGUGUACGACUCUCUCUACAGCGAGGUUCCAAUGCGACCCCUGACAGACUUCAACAGCACCUUCUACUUCUGGGAAACCAAAUCUGACAUCACGACCGACGAGACUGUGUGGGCCGCUGCAAUCGGUGCUCUGCCCCUGCACCUCGUCAGGCUCGGUCUGGACCAAAUGAUCACGCAACGCUUUCUGGCGGCAAAGUCGCUGCGUGACGCCAAAGCAGUAGCAUUCUGCUGCAUCGGCAUUCUGUCGUUCUUCUACGCUCUCAACGGGAUAACGGCGCUGGCCAUAAUCUUCUGGUUCAGAGACUGCGACCCGGUCCUCACGGGAGACAUUCCACGCUACGAUCAGAUUGUACCUUACUACGUCAACAGGAGUGCGAGCGCACUGAUUGGAAUUAGGGGCCUCUUCUUGGCUGGUGUCAUCAGUGCGUCCAUAAGCACAAUAUCGUCUAUCGUCAAUUCCCAUGCGGCCGUUCUGUACGUUGACAUCGUGUCACCGUACAUCAAGAUACCCGAGGAUCGAUCGAGUCUUGUGAUGGCAGCUCUGGCGGCUGGGAGCGGUACCAUUAUGACCCUCACCGGACUACUGGUCCCUUACAUCGGAUCGGCUGCAAGGUUCUUCAUCGCACUAUAUGCCGCGGCGUCUGGACCAUUCGCGGGAAUAAUUAUCCUGGCCACCUGCUUCCCAUGGGCGAACGCAAAGGGCACUGCGACUGCGGCGUUGGGCGUCUUCCUGCUUCAAAUAUGGCAGACGGCCGGCCGGUUUGCGUCAAAGGUGGAAGCAGUUCGGAUGACCUACAGCGUGGACCGGUGUCCCGCCAACACCACCCUGGCCUUCAACGAAACCCUGCCUUACGUUCCCACGGACAGCCCCGACGUGUUUCCCAUGUACCGGCUGUCCGCCUACUGGUGCUGCCUGCUCGCCACCUUCCUGACGGUGUUCAUCGGUUUGGCACUCAGCGUCGUGUCAGCCCGAGCCAGCGACAACCUCGAGAAGAGCAUGAGCCUGUCAAGUCCCGUAGCCUUGAGGUUCUGGGCGUGGACCGGACUGCUUCCACGCAUAAAAAAGGAGCCUCUGCGAGUCACAGUGAACGACGGGAGCAUCAAGGCGUCUCCUUACGAGAUACAGCCACUGCAAUCAAACGGCGACGACAUCGACCUCUUGUCCAAGCCUACCGCCAAGAACGGACGACUACACGCGACGUGUACAGACCAGGGGGACAUGUAGAUAGAUCACAAUGGCCACACGCCACUUCACCGAACCUAUUUCGCAAGCACGUGCGCGUAGACUGCCUGUUCAUCGUGACGUGUUCUCAUCUGUAAAUAUCCUUUUAUCAGAAUGCUACAGGCCACUAGAUAUGUGGGUGGACGCUAUUUCUGGAAAUCGUUUACUGGGUACGCCUCCUUCUCUUUUAUUUUCUUGGUUGCUCUCUGACAAUAGUCAGUUCGAAAUUUUAAUUCAACUUGUUCUAGAAUCCGGCAGUCUCGUUGCAGUCAGACGACUCGCAAACUGGGCUUCUCUUGUUAGUUUUGUUUCUUGGGAAUUAUAAAUGUCGUGAGUAAUGGAACACCAUGCAUUCGACUUAAGAGUAAUACUUUACCCGUACUCACGUGGGUCGAAUUUCUAUAUAUUUAGCUUUGUCUCUCUGUUUUGUUUUCCAGUUCUUGUCUAUGCUUAUUAUGUUGGUGUCUCUGCGGUAUAUGUUUGUGCGCGUUGCACGCAGGGGGAAAGGGGGUAUCGUUGAUUCCUCACCUGUUCUUUGAGAUAACCAGUUCUAAUCUAGCCUCUAUUCACAUUUGUCUAGUUACGAAACAACGCCACAA